rnacentral:lncRNA from 1 species
GAUCUAGUCUUCCAGAGAGUCUCAAAGGUAGUUCAGGUAGACAGCACAGCCUUGGAUGAUAAAGGCUAAUGAUCGCACAAAAGACAGAAGCAAUCAGUUUUAAUUUUUCAGCCAUGUUACAUAAAGGUACACUAUAAGUUCAAUGAGUUCUGUCAUCAGAAGUUCUCAUUUUAUCCCUGCAAGGCAACUCCCCUCAAGUUGCUUAUUUGUCUAAUAUUCUCAAGGUUAACCUGGAAAUGUCACUUUUCAGGAUCUAGAAAUGACUUAGCUAAAGUAAAGUUGAAGAAGCCAAGCACCUCCUACUUUCCUAGUCUCCUGGCACAGCUGAGGAGAUGAUACCAUGCCCACACCCUAAAAAAAAUUAUGGCAACAUCAAAAAUCAAACUGCAAGAACCUAGGAUGGCUCUCUACUUGGUCACUGUGGAUGUAAGGGACAAAAUCAGAAAAGCAGCUGUUGUGUUCAUCACCGGGGAAGAUCCGAGCCCUCUGGACAGUCUCAGCUGCCCCUGUUCUUCUCCUCAAAUUCCAGGAUGAGACCUUUAAUGUGGGACAGUUUCUGAUGCAGGUACUCACAGCGAUGCUUCUCCUCCCUGUAACUUGGAUACCGCUGCAGAGAAAAAGCACCCUUGUCAAAAAGUAAAGCGGCUUCUACCUU